rnacentral:rRNA from 1 species
CAGUCGCCACGGGAAUACAGAGGGUGCAAGCGUUAAUCGGAAUUACUGGGCGUAAAGCGCGCGUAGGUGGUUUGUUAAGUUGGAUGUGAAAGCCCCGGGCUCAACCUGGGAACUGCAUCCAAAACUGGCAAGCUAGAGUACGGUAGAGGGUGGUGGAAUUUCCUGUGUAGCGGUGAAAUGCGUAGAUAUAGGAAGGAACACCAGUGGCGAAGGCGACCACCUGGACUGAUACUGACACUGAGGUGCGAAAGCGUGGGGAGCAAACAGGAUUAGAUACCCCCGUAGUCCCUGUCUCUUAUAA